rnacentral:rRNA from 1 species
UGGGGAAUAUUGCACAAUGGGCGCAAGCCUGAUGCAGCCAUGCCGCGUGUGUGAAGAAGGCCUUCGGGUUGUAAAGUACUUUCAGUCGGGAGGAAGGUGUCAAGGUUAAUAACCUUGGCAAUUGACGUUACCGACAGAAGAAGCACCGGCUAACUCCGUGCCAGCAGCCGCGGUAAUACGGAGGGUGCAAGCGUUAAUCGGAAUUACUGGGCGUAAAGCGCACGCAGGCGGUUUGUUAAGUCAGAUGUGAAAUCCCCGGGCUCAACCUGGGAACUGCAUCUGAUACUGGGAAGCUUGAGUCUCGUAGAGGGGGGUAGAAUUCCAGGUGUAGCGGUGAAAUGCGUAGAGAUCUGGAGGAAUACCGGUGGCGAAGGCGGCCCCCUGGACGAAGACUGACGCUCAGGUGCGAAAGCGUGGGGAGCAAACAGG